UGAUAAUUAGUUUAAUUAAAACAAGUGAUUUCGACUCACUAGACUAUGACCUAUUCAUAAUUAUCAA
rnacentral:tRNA from 1 species